GUUCUCCUUCUUCAGUUCACUCUGGAUCUUCUGCAUUUCUGUCCAUGGUGGGGGAGAUUUAAGAAGAGCAGAGACCAUGACUGCUAGAUUCUUAAAUAGGAGGCAUUUAAGUUCAGCCUCUGGUUUACAGACUCACUUGUAUUUACUCCAUAAAAAAUUGCUGAUGUUCCUUAUAAUUGCUGCAAACUCCUCUUCAGCUUUGUUUAUGGAUGAAUAUUUGGGGAGCCGUAGUCCACACACCUACCCCAGACUUAAGGAAGCUGCAUCUGAGUAUCGGCCUGGCUGGAGCUCCCAUCAGGGAGGAGAUCGAGGCUUCGUGUCACGGACACAGGCGGGGCCACCAUCGCACCUCCACCAUUAUGGGUUAGAGUCUAGAUUUGGUCCGCAAAAGCCCAAGAACAAAAGAAAAUCCAUCCUUUGGCCCAACCCGGAUGUGCACUUCAGUGUGCCAAAGCACCGGGGCUCAAACCGUGGCAGGCUGGGAACCAUCGAGCUAGUCCUCACACCGUCACAUCGGGCAGGGAGGAGGCUGGAAUUCAACCCUGGGGGUGUGUUUCACUUCCAUCCACUCGGAGCUCUUUCACACCUCUUUCAUGCUCUGGGGCAUCUGCAGCCACGGAUUAAGGUCAACAUACCAAUCUAAAGAGAACCUGUCCACUGGGAGGGUGCUGUCAGGAAUAAAAAUGAGAAAAAAACGUUU